UACGGGGGGGGCAAGCGUUGUUCGGAAUUACUGGCGUAAAGGGCUCGUAGGCGGCCAACUAAGUCGGAUGUGAAAUCCCCAGGCUCAACUUGGGAACUGCAUCCGAUACUGGAUGGCUUGAAUUCGGGAGAGGGAUGCAGAAUUCAGGUGUAGCGGUGAAAUGCGUAGAUAUCUGGAGGAAUACCGGUGGCGAAGGCGGCAUCCUGGACCGACAUUGACGCUGAGGAGGCGAAAAGCUGAGGGGAGCAAACGGG
rnacentral:rRNA from 1 species